AGCGCAGGCGGGUUGGCAAGUCCUUGGUGAAAUCCUGAGGCUUAACCUCAGGACUGCCAAUGAUACUGCCGAUCUUGAGUGCAGAAGAGGAGGACGGAAUUCCUGGUGUAGCGGUGAAAUGCGUAGAUAUCAGGAAGAACACCGGUGGCGAAGGCGGUCUUCUGGUCUGUAACUGACGCUCAUGCUCGAAAGCGUGGGGAGCAAACAGGAUUAGAUACCCUGGUAGUCCACGCCCUAAACGAUGGAUACUCGAUGUCGGGUCGCAAGGCCUGGUGUCCAAGCUAACGCGUUAAGUAUCCCACCUGGGGAGUACGAUCGCAAGGUUGAA
rnacentral:rRNA from 1 species